ACAUGGAUUAAUAUUCUACAGGCUAGAGCCUUAAAAGACACUGAGCUGAAAUGAAAACAAUUGAGAAAUCAACUUGACUACAGCUUCUGAGGCAAUUGCUACUAAGAGUUACUAGGUGGAAGGAGCACCUGAAGAUGAAAACCCCAGCUGCCCAUCAUCAUCAAAUCUGCUUGAGUGCUGCAGGAACUGAUGCCCAAACAUCAGAACAGAUAAGGAGGAUGAAACUCUUCACAUUCCACUUGUCUUUUAAUUGAAUGUGGCAACUGAAUGCAAGUCAGAUGAUCUUGGGGACACUACAGAUCUUUAUAUUCUACCUGGGGGAGGUGAAGCAGCCCUCUGUGUUUGGGAGAUGGAAGAACAGGCUCAUGAAGCCAUCAUAAGAGCGUCCACCAGAGAUACCAGUUCCAGGCUUCCACAAUGACAAGGGUGCCCAGCAGCACCAGCCAGACACAAACAACCACCUCAGCAUGGCGGGUCUACUGAGGAGAAAAGGCGAUCAGGACAGACCUCCAGCUGCCACAGAAUCAGGAACAAGAGGACUGGGAAGGAAGGGGUGCACAAACUUCAGUGCACAUUUGGUCCGACAAUAUGCCGCGCUCCUCCUUCAUGAAUGUUACAUCC